UACGGAGGGUGCAAGCGUUAUCCGGAUUCACUGGGUUUAAAGGGUGCGUAGGUGGGUUGGUAAGUCAGUGGUGAAAUCUCCGAGCUUAACUUGGAGACUGCCGUUGAUACUAUCAAUCUUGAAUAUCGCGUAGGUAAGCGGAAUAUGUCAUGUAGCGGUGAAAUGCUUAGAUAUGACAUAGAACACCAAUUGCGAAGGCAGCUUACUUCACGAUCAUUGACACUGAGGCACGAAAGCGUGGGGAGCAAACAGG
rnacentral:rRNA from 1 species